rnacentral:rRNA from 1 species
UGGGGAAUAUUGCACAAUGGGCGCAAGCCUGAUGCAGCCAUGCCGCGUGUGUGAAGAAGGCCUUCGGGUUGUAAAGCACUUUCAGCGAGGAGGAAGGUGGUGAGCUUAAUACGCUCAUCAAUUGACGUUACUCGCAGAAGAAGCACCGGCUAACUCCGUGCCAGCAGCCGCGGUAAUACGGAGGGUGCAAGCGUUAAUCGGAAUUACUGGGCGUAAAGCGCACGCAGGCGGUUUGUUAAGUCAGAUGUGAAAAUCCCCGGGCUCAACCUGGGAACUGCAUUUGAAACUGGCAAGCUAGAGUCUCGUAGAGGGGGGUAGAAUUCCAGGUGUAGCGGUGAAAUGCGUAGAGAUCUGGAGGAAUACCGGUGGCGAAGGCGGCCCCCUGGACGAAGACUGACGCUCAGGUGCGAAAGCGUGGGGAGCAAAACAGGAUUAGAUACCCUGGUAGUCCACGCAUGUAAAACGAUGUCGAUUUUGGAGGUUGUGCCCUUGAGGCGUGGCUUCCGGAGCUAACGCGUUAAAUCGACCGCCUGGGGAGUACGGCCGCAAGGUU